rnacentral:rRNA from 1 species
CCCGAAGACCGGGAUAGCCCGAGGAAACUCGGAUUAAUACCGGAUACCCUCUUUGGACCACAUGGUCUGCUGAGGAAAUGGUCCGCCGCUUCGGGAUGGCCUCGCGGCCUAUCAGCUUGUUGGUGAGGUAACGGCUCACCAAGGCAAAGACGGGUAGCUGGUCUGAGAGGACGAUCAGCCACACUGGGACUGAGACACGGCCCAGACUCCUACGGGAGGCAGCAGCAGGGAAUAUUGCACAAUGGGCGAAAGCCUGAUGCAGCGACACCGCGUGCGGGAUGAAGGCCCUCGGGUUGUAAACCGCUUUCAGGAGGGACGAAACUGACGGUACCUCCAGAAGAAGGCCCGGCCAACUACGUGCCAGCAGCCGCGGUAAUACGUAGGGGCCAAACGUUGUCCGGAUUUAUUGGGCGUAAAGGGCUCGUAGGCGGUUCAAAAAGUCGAUCGUGAAAGCCCGGGGCUCAACCCCGGGACGCCGGUCGAAACUGUUAUGACUAGGGUCCGGUAGAGGUGAGUGGAAUUCUCGGUG